CCUCGGGUUUGGUGCAGUUUAGUGUAUGCAAAUUAUACCUCAAUUUGAAAAAACAUCCUUCCAAGUGGGUGGAAAAGGACCUGCUGGCUACCUGGGGCAUGUUCUUGCAAUGACUGCAGAAACACAAGGGAGCAAGCCUCGUGACCCAAGCAGAUGUGAAAUCUUUGAUCAUGUGACAUCAACACUAACAUCCCUUUGAGCAAAGCGUGUCAUGUGCCCAAGGGCACCCCUGACGGAGUAAGGAAGCAUACUAUGCCAUGAUGGAGGGAAGAGUGCUUGCCCUUGAGAUGCUGCUUCUCAGAUCCCAGCUGCCAUGCUGCUGGGAGGCCGCGCCACAUGGAGAGGCCAUAGCCGUCACAUUGGUCGGCAGCCCCGGCUGACUGCCAGCCCUCGCCAGCUGUGUGAAAGGGACAUCUUGGGUGUGACUGCAACUGCAUGCGAGAUGCUGAGCCCUGUCCGCCCCAUGGAACCAGACGCAGUGAUAAUAAACUGCAGGCAUAAGUGA